UGUAAACUGCUAUGUACGACAAUACUACAGCAUAUCCCUUGGUCCUUAAUUUAAAAAUUUAGGGUCACAUAACCGAUGUCUGUGUGCAUGUCUGUCAAUGAACAGAAAGCCUAAUGUAUUGGGAGUCACCCGCCUUGAACCUUUGGUUCCAAGGUCGUCUUAGUAUAUCGGCGUAUGCGGUUUACAU
rnacentral:other from 1 species